rnacentral:rRNA from 1 species
AGUGAACGCUGGCGGUAGGCCUAACACAUGCAAUUCGAACGGCAGCACAGUAAGAGCUUGCUCUUACGGGUGGCGAGUGGCGGACGGGUGAGGAAUACAUCGGAAUCUACUUUUUCGUGGGGGAUAACGUAGGGAAACUUACGCUAAUACCGCAUACGACCUACGGGUGAAAGCAGGGGAUCUUCGGACCUUGCGCGAUUGAAUGAGCCGAUGUCGGAUUAGCUAGUUGGCGGGGUAAAGGCCCACCAAGGCGACGAUCCGUAGCUGGUCUGAGAGGAUGAUCAGCCACACUGGAACUGAGACACGGUCCAGACUCCUACGGGAGGCAGCAGUGGGGAAUAUUGGACAAUGGGCGCAAGCCUGAUCCAGCCAUACCGCGUGGGUGAAGAAGGCCUUCGGGUUGUAAAGCCCUUUUGUUGGGAAAGAAAAGCAGCAGGUUAAUACCCCGCUGUUCUGACGGUACCCAAAGAAUAAGCACCGGCUAACUUCGUG